rfam:Nicotiana attenuata strain TT chromosome 2, whole genome shotgun sequence.
UGGACAGAUUAUUGUAUUCGACUGUAUUCCACUGUAUUCACGGCGUGAACACAGGGGAUUACAUUAUUUUUAAACGGAAAGUGAAUCAAUUAACAUAAUAGACUCCU